rnacentral:rRNA from 1 species
UUUAUCUGAGGGCCAACGUGUGGGAGCUAAAGACCUAACGGUAUCAGAUGAGCCUGCGUCGUCAUUAGCUAGUUGGUGGGGUAAAGGCCUACCAAGGCGACGAUCCAUUAACUGGUCCUGACAGGAUGAACACCCACACCUGGGAACUGAGACACGGUCCAGUACUCCUACGGGCAGGCAAGCAGUUGGGGGAAUUAUUGGGACAAUGGGACGAAAGCCUGAUCCAGCCAUGCCGCGUGUGUGAAGAAGGUCUUCAUGAUUGUGAAGAACUUUAUGUUGCGAGGAGAGGCAGUAUUAUUAAUACCUUGUCUUGUAUUUGACGUUUCCAACAAUAACCACUAACUAACUUCCAGCCACCACCCGCGUACAUACGAACGGAGCAAUCUUUAAUUCUUAAUUACGUGGGCAGGAAUCGUCGCGCAGGUGAUUCAGCUAAGUUGGAUGUUUAUAUCCCCGGGCUCACCUGGUAACUGCAUCCCUGACUUACUGCUUAAGUACGGAAAAAGGUGGAGAAAUUUCCUGUGUGGCAGUUAAAUGCAUAUAUCUAGGAAGGAACACCACUGGCGAAGGCGACCACGUGCACAGAUACUGACACUGAGGUGCGAAAGCGUGGCGAGCAAACAUGAUUACAUACCCUGGCCACCACGCCGCAAACGAUGUCAACUAGCCGUUGGGAUCCUUGAGAUCUUAGUGGCACAGCUAACGCUAUANGUCUACCGCCUGGAGUACGGCCUAGGCUAAACUCUAUGAUUGACCCACCGCACAGC